rnacentral:rRNA from 1 species
CCCUAUGGGGUGCACCAGGAGAUCCGCCGGGUGCGCGUGGGCCAUAUUGUGCAGCUCCUGAUCGGCACGGACAUGAGCAUCACGGAAAUCGCCACUCACGGCGGGUUCGACGGUGUCGAGCAUAUUGCGAGGUACUUUCGGAAGGAGACGGGGAUGAGUCUCCGCGACUACCGAAAGCGACAUGCACCGAGAUAAGAAAGCAGGAAAUCCGAGAUGUGAAUUCCGAAACGAGCACGAAUGGCCCAAACCCAAAACUCAAGAAGGAUUGCCCUGUGCGGCGUCAGCGUUUCGGUCGUUUGAGUCUCGGUUCUUGGGGUUUGUUUCGAGUUUCGAAUUUGGGAUUUCUCCCUGAAGGAGGUUUUUGGGCAUGAGAAAAGCGACUGUUCUGGCGGCGGCGCUUGGGGUCCUGGCGGGAGGGC